CCCUUAGAUGUCCUGGGCCGCACGCGCGCUACACUGACAUGUUCAACAAGCCUCCUAGUUCGACAGGAUUUGGGAAAUCUUUGAACGCAUGUCGUGAUAGGGAUAGAUCAUUGCAAUUAUUGAUCUUGAACGAGGAAUUCCUAGUAAACGCGAGUCAUCAGCUCGCAUUGAUUACGUCCCUGCCCUUUGUACACACCGCCCGUCGCACCUACCGAUUGAAUGUUCCGGUGAAGAUUCCGGAUAGGACUUUUUUGAUUUAUUUCAAUUUUGUCUUAAAAGCUAUCUAAACCUCAACAUUUAGAGGAAGGUGAAGUCGUAACA
rnacentral:rRNA from 1 species